ACUGUUGGGAACCGCCUCUGCGUAAAGAGGAGGAAGGAAUGGGCAACGGUAGGUCAGCAUUGCCCCGAAUUAGUCUGGGCUACACGCGGGCUACAAUGGGUGGGACAAUGGGUAUCGACACCGAAAGGUGAAGGCAAUCUCCUAAACCCAUCCGUAGUUCGGAUUGUGGGCUGCAACUCGCCCACAUGAAGCUGGAAUCUGUAGUAAUCGUGUCUCAAAAUGGCACGGUGAAUAUGUCCCUGCUCCUU
rnacentral:rRNA from 1 species